GCGACACGUGACGUUGUUACCAAAAUCCAGUAUGGCGGAAUCUGUCAGAAAAUGAUUUUUUCGUCCUGUAGACUUCUCAAUGAAAAAGACAUUGAUUCUGCGACAUUGUCGGGACACAAUCUGGCUUUAUGAUAAUUUUGACUGGUGAAAGUGGAAGAGGACAUCUUUGAUUGGAUUAACCGAAGUGAAACCUCAUGGGGAUUGGUUUAUAGUGGAUGAGCUAACCAAUAGGAGGGCCUGUUGGAAGGCCGGUUUCCAAUGACAACCAGAGAGAGAGUGUGGAUUUACAACCUUGGCCAAACCCAGUAGGCCCAUCUACUUAUCCAUACCCACAGCCCCUGUGCCUGUCUCUUAAAGCGUGUAUAUUCUGUACAAGUACAGAAACCUGUCCCUGUAUCAAGAGAACACGCUUGCACACGCACAGAGAAAUUCCACCUCCUUAUUUUGACGUAGUCAGCCAACUCCGUGGAUCCUCCUGACUGUCGACUCGUCAACGAUGACCUCGCAAAGUCACUCAGAUGGGUUCCUCGGUAAAGACCAGCCCCUGGAGGUCCUGAAGAACUCUAUGCUCAACCACAUCCCAGCAG